rnacentral:rRNA from 1 species
AGGUCAAGUGAAGAAGGGCGCACGGUGAAUGCCUUGGCACUGGAAGCCGAUGAAGGACGCGACUAACCGCGAAAGUCUUCGGGGAGCCGUAAGUAGGCUUUGAUCCGGAGGUCUCCGAAUGGGGGAACCCAGCAUGUGCAGACAUGCUAUCCUUAAGUGAAUACAUAGCUUAAGGAGGGAACACGCAGUGAACUGAAACAUCUAAGUAGCUGCAGGAAGAGAAAGAAAUAUCGAUUUCCCAAGUAGCGGCGAGCGAACAGGAAAGAGCCCAAACCGGCAGAUUUAUCUGCCGGGGUUGUAGGACUGAGACAUGGCACUUCAGAGGAUAGCAGAAGCGUUUGGGAAAGCGCGCCAGAGAGGGUGAGAGCCCCGUAAGCGAAAUCCAAAGAAGGCCUAUCAGUAUCCUGAGUAGGGCGGGACACGUGAAAUCCCGUUUGAAUCCGCGAGGACCAUCUCGCAAGGCUAAAUACUAACCAGUGACCGAUAGUGAACCAGUACCGUGAGGGAAAGGUGAAAAGAACCCCGGGAGGGGAGU